rfam:Camelus ferus isolate Naran unplaced genomic scaffold scaffold65484, whole genome shotgun sequence.
GUAUAUAUAGCUCAGUGGCAGAGCGCAUGCUUAGCAAGCAUGAGGUUCUGGCUUCAAUCCCCAGUACCUCCA